rnacentral:rRNA from 1 species
UACGUAGGGGGCAAGCGUUGUCCGGAAUCAUUGGGCGUAAAGCGCGCGUAGGCGGCCCGGUAAGUCCGCUGUAAAAGUCCAGGGCUCAACCCUGGAAAGCCGGUGGAUACUGUCGGGCUAGAGUCCGGAAGAGGCGAGUGGAAUUCCGAGUGUAGAGGUGAAAUUCGUAGAUAUUCGGAGGAACACCAGUGGCGAAGGCGGCUCACUGGCUCGAUACUGACGCUGAGGUGCGAAAGCGUGGGG